CCCAUUUUACACAAAAUUACAUACCUUCAGACAUCCAUUACACAAGCAUUUUGCAAAGUGGUAAGUGUACAGAAGAUCGGUAAGCUAUCAGCCUGAAAGUUCACAGAUUAUUGGUAUCGGCUCUAAAAAAAAAAAAUCAGUCGAUCCCUAUGUACAACCAAAUGAUUUAACUUCUAGAAGGGUUGCAUAACUUACAAAACAGUAGGACAUUUAAAAUACUAAAGUUGUGAUAAGUGUCAGAGUCUCACUAUAUACCAGCCUUGUACAUAUGCCAAUUUACAUGGCAUAUAAAGCUGUCUGUGCUUUACCAUUCCAUGUGACAAUUUAUAAUCUGUUGGAAGUGCCAAGAGCAGUAAACUAGAGUAAAUGUUCAGACAAUAUCCAGCUUGGGUCUUGUCCAUGCCAGGUAAAUCUUAUAAAAUUUACUUAUGACACUGCAGUUUUGGCUGGCUGUUAAAGCCUGAAUAGCGCUGCCUGCAAAUCUCUGGAGAAGCAAUGUGUAUGCUUACAAAUGUUACAUGUGUACUUGUCUUGGCAGUAUUCCAGAAUAGAUCUGAUUGCAUACUGAACUAGCCUGGUGAACAAAUUCCUUUCAGUUAUGUUGAACAAAAACUGUCAAUCUAUGGACUUACAAAUUGAUUUUGUUGGGUCAAUAUGAAUCCAAAAUUUAUAAGCAUUUGACUUUCAGCACAGUUGAAAGGAAUUUUUGCGCAAGUAUAAAACUCCAAUACAGACUUUAGCGUGAGCCAAACCAGAAUUAAUGAAGAGAAUACUAUGAACUGUUGGUUAUAUGAAAGGGUAGAGUGGCAUAAUUAAGGGACCUACAGCCAAACAUCAUUUUGUGGAGCAAUUUCA